rnacentral:lncRNA from 1 species
GAAUACAACAACUAGAAUCAAGUGACAUCACAAGGCAGCAGAACACUAUGAAACAAAACAAAACUAAAAGAAUGAAAAAAUUGAGGAAAAUGUGAAGCAUCUCAUUCACAAAACAGACGAUUUAGAAAAUCGUUCAAGAAGAGACAAUUUAAGAAUAAUUGGACUACCAAAAGACCACGACAAAAGAAAAAGCCUGGACAUAAUACUAGAGGAAAUUAUCCAGGAAAACUGUCCCGAGAUCCUAGAACAAAAGGGGAAAGUGGAGAUUGAAAGAAUCCACAGAUGACUCCCUGUAUUUAAUCCCCAACUGACAACACCAAGAAAUGUUAUAGCCAAAUUCAAAAACAAUCAGAUGAAAGAACAGGUAUUACAAGCUGCCAAGAAGAAACCAUUCAGAUGCCAUGGAAACAAGGUGAGGUUAACACAGGAUCUGGCUGCAUCCACACUGAAGGGCCGAAAGGCAUGGAAUACAAUAUUCCGGGAAGCAAGGGAACUAGGACUACAACCAAGAAUAAAAUACCAUCAAACAUGACUAUAUUCUUACAGGGGAAAGUAUGGUCAUUCAACACAACAGAAGAGUUCCAAGCAUUCACAAAUGAAAGACCAGACCUGAACAGAAAAUUUGAUGUCCAACCACAGAACUCAAGAGAAUCAUCAAAAGGGCAGUCAUCUAUAAAAUGGUAAACUGGUAAAUACUGCGUAUCUUGGACAUCAAAGCUGAAAAGCUUGUCAGCAGAAACAAGAUUUCCAGCUCUCAAACUGUUCCAGUUCACUGACUGAAUCCAUAGACUAAGAACAAUUUGAGCAGAGUUCAGAGUAUGGCUGUCAUUAUUUGUGUAGCAAGUCUCACUGCUGUGCUGGUUCACCAGCAAUACCUACUAGAAAGCCUCGGGACAAGCUUGGUUCUGAUGGCACAUGGAAGAAAACAAUAUAGCUCAGAGGCCUGCAUAGAUAAGUUUUUUUGUCAAUCUCUGUGUUAAUACAAUACAAUUUUGACAUAGUAGAUGAUUAUUAAGUUCAGGAAAAACAACAAGAUUCAAAAAGAGAAAUUGAUGUGUUUUGUAUACAUAAUCAUAAUAUAUUUUUUUAAUUCUACAAGCAAUAGGGAUAUCUAAAAUUAUAUCUAUCUAACUAGCUUUAUGUGUAUAUUUCUUCAACUAUUAAAACAACUGAAAAAAUCUCAUUUUGUUGGUUGUAUGUUUUGUUUAUCAUCUGAUUCUGUCCAAAAGAAUAAAUAUAG